rnacentral:rRNA from 1 species
GUCCACAGCCAUGCUGCCCUGAAAACUCCAGGUCUCGUCUGAUCUCUGUAGCUAAGCAGGGUUGGGUCUGGUUAGUACUUGGAUGGGAGAAAACUAAGGAAGUGUUCU